rnacentral:rRNA from 1 species
AUUGAACGCUGGCGGCAGGCCUAACACAUGCAAGUAGAGCGGAGCGGCGGACGGGUGAGUAAUGCCUAGGAAUCUGCCUGGUCGUGGGGGAUAACGUCCGGAAACGGGCGCUAAUACCGCAUACUAUCAGAUGAGCCUAGGUCGGAUUAGCUAGUGGGUGGGGUAAAGGCCUACAAAGGCGACGAUCCGUAACUGGUCGGAGAGGAGGAUCAGUCACCCUGGAACUGGGACACGGUCCAGAUUCCUACGGGAGGCAGCAGUGGGGAUUAUUGGACAAUGGGCGAAGUCCUGAUCCAGCCAUGCCGCGUGUGUGAAGAAGGUCUUCGGAUUGUAAAGCACUUUAAGUUGGGAGGCGUUACCAACAGAAUAAGCACCGGCUAACUUCGUGCCAGCAGCCGCGGUAAUUC